rnacentral:rRNA from 1 species
GACCCAAAAUUACUUGUUCAAGCAUUGUUUUCGAAUUUUUUCAUGCAUCAAAGCUCGUUAAGACUAGAUGGGGUAUCCCUACAUAGCGGGUGGGACCCACGGCGAAUGGUUCAUCAAGUCUUCAAAAAAGAAUAUAUACGAUUGCAUUGCAUAUACUAACGGAUGCGAUCAUACCAGCACUAAUGCAACGGAUCCCAUCAGAACUCCGCAGUUAAGCGUGCUUGGGCGAGAGUAGUACUAGGAUGGGUGACCUCCCGGGAAGUCCUCGUGUUGCAUCCCUCUUUUUUUUUAAUUUUUUUUUUUUUGGUUAAAAGUUUAUGACUCCAUAACUUAUACACCG